rnacentral:lncRNA from 1 species
GUUAUAUCAAAAGUUGCAACAUGUAUAUAAUUGGAAUAUCAAAAAGAGAAGAAGAAGAAAAUGGAGCAGAAGAAACAUUUGCAGAAAUAAUGACUGAGAAGUUCUCAAAUUAAGAACAGAUAUCAAGCCACAGAACCAGGAAGCUUAGACAAUAUCAGCAGAAUAAACACCAAAGACUCCACACGGAGACACACCACAUUCAAACUGCAAAAAACAAAAAUAAAGAAAAAAAAAUUUAAUGAAUCUAGGAUUGGAGAACACUUUCCAUACUGAGGUAAAAGAAUACAAAUUACCAGAGACUUCUCAUGAAAAAUAAUGCAAACAAGAAGAGAAUGAAAUGAAAUCAUUAAAAUGCUCAAAGAAAAAGACUACAACCAUGAGUUCUAUAUCCAUUUAAAUUAUUAUUUCUUCAAAAAGAAGAAAUAAAAACUUUCUUAGACAAACAAAAACUAAAAAUUCCCACCCAGUGGACUUGCUCUGCAAGACAUGUUAAAAGAAGGUCUUUAGGCGGAAGGAAAAUCAUGUGUAGAUCAGAUGCUUGAAUCUACAUAAAGAAUCUAUGGCCAUACCACCCUGAACGUGCCCAAUCUCGUCUGAAUCUACAUAAAGAAAAAAGAAAGCAUCAGAGAAGUAGUUCAUGAAGGUUGUGUUUUUUAAUAGUUGGAGGAGCGGAGAGAACAGGCGUAGUGGAGAGAGUAAAGAAGUGUGUAUGAAGGGGGAGACUUCAUUGUACAGAAUGGUCAUUAACUGUGAUGCAAACGCCAAUGUUUCCAUGGAAACCUCUGUCCACUACAGAAUAUACUAGAGCAAUUUUUGAACCAUUUGUCCAUUUGAUUAAUUAUGUCUUUGUGCUGAAGGCAGCUUGGCUUGAUUGUCUCAUCAUGUAUUAGAGAAGCUACUGCUCUAACAAAUGGGCCUAUUGUUUUGGGUCUAUUCAUCUUGGUGCAUCCCUGCGAGCUGAUAGACAUUUCAACAAAAUGACUGUCCCUUAAUGAGCUGCAGCCUGUCAGAAUUGUUUAGGGCUUCAUGCGAAGCAGAGUCCAUGGUCAUGACAGCCUCAGUUAUUAUGACAAUGAGUAGGAUGUCUAUAAAAGAGUCCAUGUAAAUACAAUGACCCUCAUUUUGAUAUCACAGUUACUUUUUAAUUAUCAAACCUAUGUAUAUUAUGUUCCUAAAACACUCCUUAUUUUUGUUCCAACAUAAACUAUAGAGUUUUUUGACAAACAGAACAUGCCUACCAAAUCAAAAGAGUAAAACAUUUUUCAUAAUUUGGUAUGAUUGUUCUUGGUUUCCAGUUAUCUGAAAAAUAUUAUUAAUGCAAUUAUGGGGACUGGCUAAUAGAAGUGAAACCAACAUUUUUUAAAUAUCUUGAUGAUAUUAAUGGUGAGUUUUUUAACACUUUAAAGUGGAUACAAGCUAAUUUUACUUGAACAAACAUUCCUCAAAAAGGCAAAAACAAAUCAAACAUAAUAUUGGGGACACCCAUAAUAUUUACAAAAAAAUAUAUUUUUAGUAAAUGGGACAAAUACAACAUUAUUCUAGCACUCUCAGCCCAUAUGAGGUGGUAGGAUAAUAACCUACUGUGGUUUGAGAGUAUGCACCUGUUGAUUUGUUCUGAAGACUUGGGACUGUUGUUAUCCCGAAACCCAAGUAUCUUUCACAGGAACUGGUAUUCAACAUCCAUGUGUUUUCCUGUCCACAAUAAAUUGUAAUAAUUGUGCCUGAAAA